AGGACGAACGCUGGCGGCGUGCUUAACACAUGCAAGUCGAGCGGUAAGGCCCUUUCGGGGGUACACGAGCGGCGAACGGGUGAGUAACACGUGGGUGACCUGCCCUUAGCUCUGGGAUAAGCCUGGGAAACUGGGUCUAAUACCGGAUAUGACCUCGCGAUGCAUGUCGUGGGGUGGAAAACCUUGUGCGGCUAGGGAUGGGCCCGCGGCCUAUCAGCUUGUUGGUGGGGUGAUGGCCUACCAAGGCGACGACGGGUAGCCGGCCUGAGAGGGCGACCGGCCACACUGGGACUGAGACACGGCCCAGACUCCUACGGGAGGCAGCAGUGGGGAAUCUUGCGCAAUGGGCGAAAGCCUGACGCAGCGACGCCGCGUGAGGGAUGACGGCCUCGGUUGUAACCUCUUCAGCCCUGACGAAGCGAAGUGACGGUAGGGCGAGAGAAGCACCGGCCAACUACGCGCCAGCAGCCGCGGUAA
rnacentral:rRNA from 1 species